UCUCCUUCUGCAGCUCCAUCCUCCAGAAGUGGACGUCCUGCAGCCGCUGGCCCAGGGUGGCCUUGGAGUAUUCCUGGGCUCGCUGCGCGCUGGCGGCCGCGUGUUUGACCAGGUGCUUGGCCUCGGCGCGGCCGCGCUCCGCCUGCUCGCCCGCCGUGAGCGCCUGGUAGCAGACGCCCGCGUUGCGGCGGUGCCACUCGGGCAGCUGGUACUUGGCGGUGCGGAAGCCGGCCAUGGCCAUGCCGCAGCAGGAGCGCGGCCUCUCGCUGCGGACCACAUCGCAGAUCUUGCUGGGCGGCGGGCAGGAGGGAACCACCGGGGGAUGCGGCUCGUCGGGCUGCGCCAUGGCGGAGCCUCCGCCGCUCCCGCCCGAGCGUCCUCGCCUCACCGCGGCGACCAACGGCAGGGCGGGCCCGCGGGUUGAUGGGCGGAUGGAUGCACCAAUCAAAGAGCUGAUCCGGCGAAAGAGCAGGGCUGAUUGGUGGAUGCGCUGUCUGGGCCCGCCCCCCACGCGGCUCGUUGCCGUGGUAACGGGAAGGCGGCUGCAGUUGAAUCGGGAUGGCAGCGGUGAAGGCCGCGAGCAGCGGAGGGGAAAUGCCGGGGAUUUCGGGAGGGUGAGGGCACCUCUUUCCAGGAAGGAAGGGAGAGGUUCAGAUCCGGUGCUUGCCAGCACCUGGAGCCUGAAAUCUGGCGUUUGCUGCCACCGCCAGAGCCCAAAUCCAGAAAUUUCUCAGUUCCGGCACAGCCCAAGUCCAACAAUUUGCUGGCACGGAAAGGCAAAAUCCGGCAAUUUCCCAGUACCGCCAAAGGUCUGGUAACUUGCCCGUGCCAGCACUCCAGAUCCAGCAAAUUGCCGGUGCCUGCACCACCCAGGUCUGGCAUUUACCAGCACCGGCACCCCAAACCCAUGAAGAAGAAGGAAGAGGAAGCAUGAAGAAGAAACCCAGGACAACACCCCGUGCCCUCCAUCUUGCUUCCAUCCACAACAUACUAAAAAUCCCAAACCCUAAAUUUCUCACCAACUGAUAACCUUUCCUCUGAUACCCAGGCUCAUAGGAAAUGACUUCUUUUUCCCUUGGGAAAUGGCCUUCCUUUGCGGCCGGCCACUUGCCCCACCGCCCAGAUCCAGCGAUUUCCUGCGGCUGGGGCACUCGGGGCUCUGGCUGAGCAGCCAAGCUUUAGGACGCACAACAUGGAGAAACCAGAGCGGACUCUGUGCAGUCCUCCAGAAGAAUCCUGUGUGGGAAGCAGCCUGGGAGCAGGGUUUAUGUGGCAGGGUGGGCAAUUCGGAGCCUUUUUCUCCCCUGUGGGCUGAGGGCCUGGCCCUUGCCCUCACCGAGGGCCCUAGGCCGGCCAUGGUGAGGGUGGCUCGUUGCCAUGGUGACGGAAAAAGGCGGGAAGGCGCCUGAGGGAGGUGUCAUGGCCGCCAGGGCGGCCCUCACGCAACCGCAGGAAGGAGGUUGAGGUUGAACGUGUCCAGAGGAGAGCAACAAGAUGAAGGGCUUGGAACGCAAACAUUUGGAAGAACAGCUGAGGGAGCUGGGGUUGUUUAGCCUGGAAAAAAGGAGGUUUGGGGUGGCAGGAUUUCAUCGCAGUUCCAGCCCCUCUGGUUGCCCCCGGAAAUUUCCAGAGUGCCCCCGCUGCUUUUAGGCUGCUCAAUAGAACACGUUUGUGCUCUUUGCUCUGCUUUUAUUCCCAAAUAUUCGCUCUUGAGGCCUUUCCUGUGAAUCUGGUCCUGUUGGGGGAAAGGGAAAAGAAAGAGGGGAUGUGGGAAAGGGGAAUAAAAGAGGAAGGGAAGGGAAGUUUGGCUUUCCUCCAGGAGAUGUGGAUCUUGAUGAGAUUUGUGGAAUUCUCUGGCUUGGGAAAAGUGCUUUUUCCAGCUGGCAGAACUUCAGGAUGAACCUGGCAGGUGUGGGCAGAAUUCCUGGAUUUCCACAGGGAAUCCCACAUUCCAGGUGGAUUUUAAAAGCACCUCCCCAUUCCUGCAGAGCUUGGGGGAUCACUCCCAUUAUGGAAAACCGGGAAUGUACACAAAAAGCAGGAUUUAGAGGGAAUUAUUGCUCAGAUUCCAGCUUCUCCCAGCACCUCAGGGCUUUGAGGGCAAUUUUGGGAAGGAUUAUGGAUAUCCCUGCUGGAUUACAACAGCGCUGGGAGAAUUCCAGCCUCCAAUCCUGUUUUCUCCCAAUCCUCCUCACGCUCUGCUCCGGAGCUGAUCAGCUUUGGAAUAAUCCCUGGAAUGCAAAUUAUCCCAGGUCUGUUCCAGGGGUUUGUAUCAUUUCCAAGGAUAAAUGGGAUCUGACAGAAUUUGUGGGAUUUCCGUGUAGGGAAGUGCUGAUGUCAUUUAUUUAAUUCCUUCAUGGGAAAGAGGGAUAGAGGAUUUUUUGGGAUGCUGGCAGCAAUUUGGGAAGGGUGGAUGAGGGAUGCAAAAAUCAUCGCUCAAGAAAGGGAAAAGAGCCCACCCCUCCCAUCUUUCCCACUUUUCCAGCCCCAUAAAAGGCUCAGGGAUGGAUUGCUCCUCCUGGGGAGGGCAGAGGGACACAAGUGUCCCCUCCUGCCGGUGUUCCCGUGUCCCCCAUUCCCGCUUUUCCCGGCGCACAUUCCCCCGUGUGCCUGCGGCGCUGCCGCCGUGCAGGAGCCGCUCGCCCACGCAGCUCCAAUUCCCCGUCUGGAGCUGGGGAAAAAACCUGGAGCCAUCCCAAUCCCAACAUUCCCGGCUGGCUGCUCCCGGUAUGGAGCGGGGGGGAGGGACAUCCAAGGAAUUUUGAGAUUAAGGAAUGUGGCUGUGCCACAGGGAGGGGUUUUUAGCCGGGCUGGAGGGGGAUGCGAGCACAGGGAUUUUAUUCCCGGCGUUUGGAGCAGGGGAUUCUCCGGGAUAAAGGGAAAAGUCGGAUGUGCUGGGAUUUGGGGUAGGAAAGGGGGGGGUUUGAAUAUUCCAGGUGUUGCUGGCUCUGAUCCCAGCGCUGCGCCUGGAGUUUUGUGGGAUUCCUUGCUUUCCACUCAGGGUACAUUCCUUGUUUUCCACUCAGGGAACAUUCCUUGUUUUCCAAAGCAAAUCCCUCUUUUGGAAGAAGCCACACGGAAAAGCAGGAAGGGAACGGGAGCUUCCCUAUAAAAUAUUCACUGGCUCAGCUCCGCUGGAGCCUCCCGAGGAAUUUUGGGAACUGGGAUAAUGAGGCUCCCCUGCUCUUCCUGCAUUUCUGCCUCCUCCUGGCUCAUCCCUUAUUAAUGUGCCCUUUCCAUGACUUUUCGGGAUGGCUCUUCCUGCAGGAGCUUUUGAUCCCUUUGUUCCUGCUGGAGGAAGGGAAAGCACCGCUGGGAAAAUGGGAGAAGGGAAUUUCCUUCAUGGAAUUUGUUUGGAUUGAUGGGAUUUUAUGCCCCCAUGGACAGGGACACUGGAAUUCUUCCAUCCCAACCUGGAAAACAUUUUUAUGGGAAAGAAGGAGGAAUUCUUUUUCUCCUGGGAUAAUCUGGAGUGCAAGAGGAGCCUCCUGGAAAAGCUUUUCCAUUCCAGGAGGAACGGGGAGGCUCCUGCUGCUCAGAUCAUUCCCAGGAUGGAUCAUUUAUCCAAUUUCCAUCUCUUUUUAUCCUAAAAUCCCCCUUUUAGUGGGAUUGAUUCUGGAAUGAUCAAGCCAGGAUGAUCCUGGAUUGCUCCUGGAAUGGUUUGGAUUGGGAAGGGAUCUCAAAGCUCAUCCCAUUCCAACCCCAACACUUCCCAUUAUCCCAAUCCUCAUCCAACCUUUCCUUGGACGCUUCCAGGGAUCCAGGGAUUCCACAGCUUCUCUGGGAAUUCCAUCCCAGCCAGGAAUUCCUUCCCAAUAUCCCGUUUAUCCCUGCCCUCUGGCAGUUGGAAGCUAUUCCCCCUUUUCCCAUUAUUCCAUACCCUUGGGAAUAUUCCCUCUUCAAUAUUCCCUCCUUUUCCUGGAUAUUUCAGUCAUUCCCACCCAGCUGAGGGGAUUUUCCUGAGAAAACCAGAAAAGGUGAUUUUUUCCCAAUUUUUUAAUGCCGGGAAUUCUCCAUCCUUGGAAUGAAAAGAGGAAAAUCCAGGAGAGUGGGAACAGCGGGAAUUCAAACCGAGAGAAAACCGGGAGUGGGAGAGAUUCCAGCGGGAGUGAGGUCAGCGGGAAUCCUCGGCAGGAAAACCCGGCUGGUUCCCAUGGAAACGCCCAGCCAGGAUUUCACACUCCACGAGUUUCGAGUCGGCAUUCCUUGAAAAAAAACGGGAAAAACCCAGAGAGGGAAUCCUGAGGGAACCCCUCCAGCACCUUUAUUUUUCAUUCAUGGAAUGCGUGGAUAAAUAGGGAAUAUUUGGGAGUGGAGCAUAAUUCCAGGGAGCUGCUCCCACUUCAGACACUUCCAGGUGAUUUUUCAAGAUUCCAGAGGGUUUGGAAUAAUUUUGCCAUGGGAUAAUCAGUGGCACAAGGAGCUUGUUGGAAACGAAAGGAAUUUUUGGGGAUGAAUGAAAGAAAAUUAAGAAAAAAAAGGGAAUAAGAGGAGCUUGGAGGAAAGAAUCCAUAAAAAUCCUGAUUUUCUUAUUGGUAAAAAUACAAAAUUGCUGGAUUUGGGAGGAAAAAGGAAUUUUACGCAAUAAGAGGUUGCCAUGGGCAACUGGAAUUCCAGCCCCGAGGUGGGAAUUCAGGAAUUCCUGAGUGGAGCAGGGAUUCCCUUCCAGCAGCAAAGCCCUUGGAAGAGGGGAAAUCAGGAAAUGCAGCUGGAAAAUCCAAUUGAAAAGAAUAAAAAGAGGCAAAAUUCC